rnacentral:rRNA from 1 species
CCUACGGGGGGCUGCAGUGGGGAAUAUUGGACAAUGGGGGCAACCCUGAUCCAGCCAUGCCGCGUGUGUGAAGAAGGCCCUCGGGUUGUAAAGCACUUUCAGUGAGGAAGAACGCCUGGUGGUUAAUACCCAUCAGGAAAGACAUCACUCACAGAAGAAGCACCGGCUAACUCCGUGCCAGCAGCCGCGGUAAUACGGAGGGUGCGAGCGUUAAUCGGAAUUACUGGGCGUAAAGCGCGCGUAGGUGGCUUGAUAAGCCGGUUGUGAAAGCCCCGGGCUCAACCUGGGAACGGCAUCCGGAACUGUCAAGCUAGAGUGCAGGAGAGGAAGGUAGAAUUCCCGGUGUAGCGGUGAAAUGCGUAGAGAUCGGGAGGAAUACCAGUGGCGAAGGCGGCCUUCUGGACUGACACUGACACUGAGGUGCGAAAGCGUGGGUAGCAAACAGUAUUAGAUACCCCUGUAGUC